GCCUAGUUAGCUUGGUUGGUAGCGCGUCUGCCUCGUAAGCCCUGAGUCGCGGGUUCAAUUCCCGCCCGAGGCG
rnacentral:tRNA from 1 species